AGAGUUUGAUCAUGGCUCAGAAUCAACGCUGGCGGCGUGCCUAACACAUGCAAGUCGAACGCGAAAGCCCCGCAAGGGGCAAGUAGAGUGGCAAACGGGUGAGUAACACGUGGGUGACCUGCCUUCGAGCGGGGGAUAACGUCCCGAAAGGGACGCUAAUACCGCAUGACAUCCUGCCUUUGAAGAGGCGGAGAUCAAAGCCGGGGAUCGCAAGACCCGGCACUCGAAGAGGGGCCCGCGCCUGAUUAGCUAGUUGGUGUGGUAACGGCCUACCAAGGCAACGAUCAGUAUCCGGCCUGAGAGGGCGGACGGACACACUGGGACUGAGACACGGCCCAGACUCCUACGGGAGGCAGCAGUGGGGAAUUGUUCGCAAUGGGCGCAAGCCUGACGACGCAACGCCGCGUGGAGGAUGAAGAUUUUCGGAUCGUAAACUCCUGUCGAAUGGGACGAAUAGAUUGCGGGUUAACAGCCCGUAGUCCUGACGGUACCGUUAAAGGAAACCCCGGCUAACUCCGUGCCAGCAGCCGCGGUAAUACGGGGGGGGUAAGCGUUGUUCGGAUUACUGGGCGUAAAGGGCUCGUAGGCGGCCAACUAAGUCAUACGUGAAAUCCUCAGCUUAACUGGGGAACUGCGUGUGAUACUGGAUGGCUUGGAUUUGGGAGAGGGAUGCGGAAUUCCAGGUGUAGCGGUGAAAUGCGUAGAUAUCUGGAGGAACCACCGGUGGCGAAGGCGGCAUCCUGGACCAAUAUUGACGCUGAGGAGCGAAAGCCAGGGGAGCAAACGGGAUUAGAUACCCCGGUAGUCCUGGCCCUAAACGAUGAAUGCUUGGUGUAGCGGGUAUCGAUCCCUGCUGUGCCGAAGCUAACGCAUUAAGCAUUCCGCCUGGGGAGUACGGUCGCAAGGCUGAAACUCAAAUGAAUUGACG
rnacentral:rRNA from 1 species